rnacentral:rRNA from 1 species
GAUGAACGCUGGCGGCGUGCCUAAUACAUGCAAGUCGAGCGAACAGAUGAGGAGCUUGCUCCUCUGACGUUAGCGGCGGACGGGUGAGUAACACGUGGGUAACCUACCUAUAAGACUGGAAUAACUUCGGGAAACCGGAGCUAAUACCGGAUAAUAUAUAGAACCGCAUGGUUCUAUAGUGAAAGAUGGUUUUGCUGUCACUUAUAGAUGGAUCCGCGCCGCAUUAGCUAGUUGGUAAGGUAACGGCUUACCAAGGCAACGAUGCGUAGCCGACCUGAGAGGGUGAUCGGCCACACUGGAACUGAGACACGGUCCAGACUCCUACGGGAGGCAGCAGUAGGGAAUCUUCCGCAAUGGGCGAAAGCCUGACGGAGCAACGCCGCGUGAGUGAUGAAGGUCUUCGGAUCGUAAAACUCUGUUAUUAGGGAAGAACAAAUGUGUAAGUAACUGUGCACGUCUUGACGGUACCUAAUCAGAAAGCCACGGCUAACUACGUG